UUGCCACAGCUAUAUCUGCCCUUGAAAAUGUGCUGUUUCUUCAUAUGGUCAGAAAAGGGUAUCUCUAUGUUAUUUUAGGAAACAAGAGCAUCUGAUUAUCAAGAGAUCUUUUUUGGGUUACCUGAUGAUCAUGUCACUAUGUGUGUCUCAUUGCUGUGUGAGGAAGUUAUUGGUUUUGAACUAUAAUGCUUUGAUGUAAUGAAACUGGACAUCCCAGGGAUUACUGUGGAAAAGCAGGCUGAACGGACAGGUAGUGGACUCUGGCUACUGAGCUCAAAUUGAGCAAGAAGAGAUCAGGGACUCUGUUGCUUUGCUUUGGAUUUCCUGCCCUUGGAUCCUGAAGGCUGUGUGAAACUGACUUGAUAGGACUAACCUGGUAGAAGUGGAGCUGACUUUGUGGGGCUAAACUUACUAGCAUCCAAGCUGGUAGAGCUGAGUUUGCUGAACUGUCCUGGCUCAGCUGCUACACAGGACAGUUGAAUUCGCUGAACCCAACCUGGCCCGCUGGAGCUCACAUUGUGGAAUCCAAACUGGCAGUCACAGAUUGGAGUGGGGCUUGGUGGUGUUGACAUCACUGCACUGGAGCAGCCAGGCUGAAGAAUCGUCCCUGCACCUACUUGACCCCUCUGGAGGCUGAUCAGGUCCACCAAAGAAAACAGAUGGAAAGUCAAGUGGAGUUACAGCAGGUUGAAAGUACCUACUACUGAAUGUCUGUGAACUCUGCUGAAAUGAUGCCAUUUGAAACCAAUUAACCACCUCGUCUAUACAUCUCUCCCCAAAGCCUUGAAAUAGAAAAUAUCAGUCUCUGUUGCCUUUCCUCUGUGUGCUUGUGUGUGUGGAAGGGCAGGGGGAAAGGAAGGAGACAGAUCUAAAGCCCUUGAGAAAUUAACUGUGGAUUCCAAAAUACCGCAGGAUGCACACUCAAAAAAGAUUGACUU